GAUGAACGCUAGCUACAGGCUUAACACAUGCAAGUCGAGGGGCAGCAUUUCAGUUUGCUUGCAAACUGGAGAUGGCGACCGGCGCACGGGUGAGUAACACGUAUCCAACCUGCCGAUAACUCGGGGAUAGCCUUUCGAAAGAAAGAUUAAUACCCGAUGGUAUAAUCAGACCGCAUGGUCUUGUUAUUAAAGAAUUUCGGUUAUCGAUGGGGAUGCGUUCCAUUAGGCAGUUGGUGAGGUAACGGCUCACCAAACCUUCGAUGGAUAGGGGUUCUGAGAGGAAGGUCCCCCACAUUGGAACUGAGACACGGUCCAAACUCCUACGGGAGGCAGCAGUGAGGAAUAUUGGUCAAUGGGCGCAGGCCUGAACCAGCCAAGUAGCGUGAAGGAUGACUGCCCUAUGGGUUGUAAACUUCUUUUAUAUGGGAAUAAAGUUUUCCACGUGUGGAAUUUUGUAUGUACCAUAUGAAUAAGGAUCGGCUAACUCCGUGCCAGCAGCCGCGGUAAUACGGAGGAUCCGAGCGUUACCCGGAUUUAUUGGGUUUAAAGGGAGCGUAGGUGGACAGUUAAGUCAGUUGUGAAAGUUUGCGGCUCAACCGUAAAAUUGCAGUUGAUACUGGCUGUCUUGAGUACAGUAGAGGUGGGCGGAAUUCGUGGUGUAGCGGUGAAAUGCUUAGAAAUCACGAAGAACUCCGAUUGCGAGGGCAGCUCACUGGACUGCAACUGACACUGAUGCUCGAAAGUGUGGGUAUCAAACAGGAUUAGAUACCCUGGUAGUCCACACAGUAAACGAUGAAUACUCGCUGUUUGCGAUAUACAGUAAGCGGCCAAGCGAAAGCAUUAAGUAUUCCACCUGGGGAGUACGCCGGCAACGGUGAAACUCAAAGGAAUUGACGGGGGCCCGCACAAGCGGAGGAACAUGUGGUUUAAUUCGAUGAUACGCGAGGAACCUUACCCGGGCUUAAAUUGCAUUUGAAUAUAUUGGAAACAGUAUAGCCGUAAGGCAAAUGUGAAGGUGCUGCAUGGUUGUCGUCAGCUCGUGCCGUGAGGUGUCGGCUUAAGUGCCAUAACGAGCGCAACCCUUAUCUUUAGUUACUAACAGGUCAUGCUGAGGACUCUAGAGAGACUGCCGUCGUAAGAUGUGAGGAAGGUGGGGAUGACGUCAAAUCAGCACGGCCCUUACGUCCGGGGCUACACACGUGUUACAAUGGGGGGUACAGAAGGCAGCUACCUGGUGACAGGAUGCUAAUCCCAAAAGCCUCUCUCAGUUCGGAUCGAAGUCUGCAACCCGACUUCGUGAAGCUGGAUUCGCUAGUAAUCGCGCAUCAGCCAUGGCGCGGUGAAUACGUUCCCGGGCCU
rnacentral:rRNA from 1 species